ensembl:lncRNA
GUUUAAUUUAAUCAAUAAUAUUUAAACUUGACAAACCUCAGAGUGUCUCCCCAAUGCCAAUCAAGGCUUUACCACGACACACGGCGGUGCACUUUCCUAGAGCCUCUUGGCCACCCGAAUCAAUUCAUUUAACAACAAGAACAACAAGUGACACCUCCUUUCCUUCAACAAAGGAACGUCAAAGGAGGUACACCUAAGUAAUCAAGUGUGCCCCUACCAAUCAAGGCACCUGGGAGCCACACAAUCAACAAAAACCGAAAUCAAUCGAUUUGAAUUCAACAAAAAAUGCUUACCACUACCUGAUUCAAACGGACGAGCCCCCAAUUUGUCACGGCCCGGCUCUUGGCCAUAACAAAUAUGGAGACACACCAAGGUUUAGAUUGAAAAGUAAACAUAAAUUAUUAACAGACGAAAAGUUUAACUAGAAAUAAUGGGUCUGGCGAGGGAGAGACCUGGGGAGGAGCAGAGGAUCUUGCCCAGGUUACCUAUAAGUCAGAGGGCCGUCACAAUAUCAAAUUGACUAAAAGGACACGCCAUGUCUGCCACUGCCUUCCGUCUGCAGGCUUCAACUUAAGAGCAGGAGAAACUCAGGGUUAGUUGAAGAAAACCUGCCAGCGAGCAGGUACCCAUUUUCACCAAAAAAAGCAAUACCGCCGCGGCAGCGAGAGCGCGAGAGAGAGCUUGGCAGGAAAUAGCUGAACAAGUCAAUGCGAACAACCCGAGUUGCCCCAAGAGGACUUGGCAGCAAAUGAAAAUGAAGUACAAAAAUAUAGUUCAAACAGGUAUCUAAUGUUUAAUUGAAAUCAAAUCAAUUGUGCUGUUUUGCCUGCUCUACCUAAUUUAACAGCUAUAUUCAACAUGUGAUGGGUCUAUAUUUAAGCAGUAAAUGUAAGUAGUACAUUUCUCAGCCACCCCAACACUGCCAAUAUUUAAUAGGAUUUAGAUAUUAGAAGGCUACACCUAGGCAAAAUGCAGUAUGUAUGUAUGUAUGUAUGUAUGUAUGUAUGUAUGUAUGUAUGUAUGUAUGUAUGUAUGUAUGUAUGUAUGUAUGUAUGCAUGUAUGUAUGCAUGUAUGUAUGUAUGUAUUCAAAAUAGCGCUUACUGAAUAUUAGGGUAACAUUUUCCUCCAUGUUAGCAAAUCGAAAAAAAGCAGAGCCCCGGCAGACUGGAGGGGGUCCACCUCUGCAGCCCUCACAGAGGCUGAGGAGAUGGCCCUCAGCCAACAGAGUAUGGGUCCUGUGGCUGAGGGCAUCCCUGGGGGGAGCUCCUCUGAUCCCCCCAACCCCCCAGGAUAGAAGUGCCUUUAUUUAUAAGAGUUACUGAUGGCGUCAUCGCCCCACUUGAACCAGAUGCCCUCACCAACCUCCAUGCAAUUGUAACAAUUCUUCACCUUCCACAGAUUAUUAAUAAUGUCUUGGUAAUUGCUGAACACAACCGUUAAUGUCAUUACAGGAAGAUGAUGGAGAAACAUUGUCUGCGGCAUUCGAAAGGGAAAAAAAAAUUAACCUCUAAAAGUUGAUGAUAGCGUUGUACAAUUUAAAACUGACAUCUUCUUUCUCUCAAACAGGAUGAAAUCGAAUCCAAUGAGAGGCCAUCCACUUCUAAAUCACAGCUUACCUCUCUUCCAGUCAAAGACUUAUACAAAAUCGAUCUAGAAAAGCAAAUACACAAAGCAGACUUGGAAAUGGACCACCUUAGGCAAAAGAUGCAAAAGGAUGCUUUGGAGAUCCACAUUUUGGAACAUUUGUUAAAGGUGGGUGAGGUGCAAACUGGGAUACUGUUCCCUGCUCUAAAAACAUACCCAAUAUGAAUGACUUUUUUUGUGCUUUCAGGAAAUAAAGAAAUCCUCAUAAAAAGUAGAUUGUCUUUAUUAGAACACUGGCUGUGGUGGGACAAGUUAUUUUGUUGAACAGUUUACUCAAAGG